rnacentral:rRNA from 1 species
CCACGCCGCGUGAGUGAUGAAGGUUUUCGGAUCGUAAAGCUCUGUUGUUAGGGAAGACAAGUGCGAGAGUAACUGCUCGCACCUUGACGGUACCUAACCAGAAAGCCACGGCUAACUACGUGCCAGCAGCCGCGGUAAUACGUAGGUGGCAAGCGUUGUCCGGAAUUAUUGGGCGUAAAGGGCUCGCAGGCGGUUUCUUAAGUCUGAUGUGAAAGCCCCCGGCUCAACCGGGGAGGGUCAUUGGAAACUGGGAAACUUGAGUGCAGAAGAGGAGAGUGGAAUUCCACGUGUAGCGGUGAAAUGCGUAGAGAUGUGGAGGAACACCAGUGGCGAAGGCGACUCUCUGGUCUGUAACUGACGCUGAGGAGCGAAAGCGUGGGGAGCGAACAGGAUUAGAUACCCCGGUAGAAAG